AUGACGGGUGUGGUAUCUCAUGCUGUCCUGCUCGUUGGCGUCGUGCUCCUGACGGGGCAGAUGUGCGGGUGCACGGCGGACGCCGGCCGUGGCGACGGUUUUAGCGUCGAGCUCAUCCACCGUGACCACUCCGUCAAGUCGCCGUUCCACGACCCGUCGCUCACCCCGCAUGGCCGCAUGCUCGCGGCCGUGCGGCGUUCCACGGGGCGCGCCGCGGCACUGGCACGCUCGUACGCUGCCACCGCCGGCACUGGCUCUCCUGACGGCGGCGUUGCUGAGGUCAUCUCCAUCCCGCCGUUCGACUUCCUCAUGUACGUCAACAUCGGGUUGCCGCCUACACGGAUGCUCGUCUAUGCCGACACCGGCAGCGACCUCCUGUGGGUCAAAUGCGGCAACGACGGCACCACCGAUCUUCCCAAAGCCGCCGGGGGAGCGCCGCCGAGGGUCGUGUUCAACCCGUCCAAGUCGUCGACGUUCGGCCGCGUGAACUGCAAGUCCGGCACGUGCCACGCGUUCACCGGCACCGGCGUCUCCUGCGACGCUAAAUCCAACUGCAAGUACGUUUACUCCUACGGCGACGGCUCCGAGACUAGCGGCGUCCUCUCCACGGAGACCUUGACCUUCGACGACGCCCCUGGCGGCUGCGUCGGGUGCCCCGGCCGUCCGCAGCUGCAAGUGGCCAAUUUCAACUUCGGCUGCUCCACGUCCACGAAAGGCGCCUUCACAGGGGAUGGACUCGUUGGGCUCGGCGACGGGAAAUUCUCCCUCGCCAACCAGCUCGGUGCCGCCACGUCGAUCGGCCGGAGGUUCUCCUACUGCCUCGUGCCCUCCUUCGUGAACACCCCGUCAAUCCUCAACUUCGGCGCCCGCGCUGCCGUGACGGAGCCGGGCGCAGUAACCACGCCGCUGCUCCACCCCGACGUCGACGCAUACCUCACCAUCGCGCUCGAGUCCGUCAGGAUCGGGGACAGGAGCUUCACGUUGCCGCAGCGGGCCCGCAUCAUCGUGGACUCUGGCACGACGCUGACGUUACUUGUCAAGGAGCUGCUGGACCCGAUGGUGGAGGAGCUGACCCGGAGUAUCAAGCUCCGGCGGGUGAAGUCACCGGACGAGGAUUUACCUAUUUGCUACGAUGUGUCCGGGGUGGGGGAGACGGCGUUCGGGAAGAUUGUCCCGGAGGUGAAGCUGGGCCUGGGAGGCGGUGGGGUGGUGACGCUCAAGGCGGAGAACACGUUCGUGAUGCUGCGGGAGGGGACGAUGUGCAUGGCUUUGAUGGAGGCCCACAAGGAAGAUGGGGGCAUGAUCUGGGGGAACAUCGCCCAGCAGAACAUGCACAUCGGGAUCGACCUCGACAAGCGCACCGCCACCUUCGCCAGUGUAGACUGUGCUACCUCCUAUCCAUGGCCCACCCCUCCGUCGGCCUCUCUGUAG
rnacentral:rRNA from 1 species